CGGGAAAGACAAGGUUUAUUAAUCGAGGAAGCGGAAGGAGCUGGAGAACUAUGGAUGACGGCGGAAGAUAUUC
rnacentral:sRNA from 1 species